UACAGAGGGUGCGAGCGUUGUCCGGAAUCACUGGGCGGAAAGGGCGCGUAGGUGGCGCGACAAGUCGGUGGUGAAAGUUCGACGCUCAACGUCGAAUCGGCCACCGAUACUGUUGGGCUUGAGCACUGUAGAGGCUAAUGGAAUUCCGGGUGUAGCGGUGGAAUGCGUAGAGAUCCGGAAGAACACCGGUGGCGAAGGCGGUUAGCUGGGCAGUUGCUGACACUGAGGCGCGACAGCGUGGGUAGCAAACGGG
rnacentral:rRNA from 1 species